AUACGGAGGGUGCAAGCGUUAAUCGGAAUUACUGGGCGUAAAGCGCGCGUAGGCGGUUUGAUAAGUCGGAUGUGAAAUCCCCGGGCUCAACCUGGGAAUUGCAUUCGAUACUGUCAGGCUAGAGUGUGGUAGAGGGAAGUGGAAUUUCCGGUGUAGAGGUGAAAUGCGUAGAUAUCAGAAGGAACACCAGUGGCGAAGGCGGCUUCCUGGACCAACACUGACGCUGAGGUGCGAAAGCGUGGGGAGCAAACAGGAUUAGAAACCCGUGUAGUCC
rnacentral:rRNA from 1 species